rnacentral:ncRNA from 1 species
CAUGCAAGUAUCCGCUAACCAGUGAAAAUGCCCUUUUACUCGACCCCCUGGGUCGAUCCCCAAGGAGCCGGCAUCAAGCACACAAUAGUAGCUCAAAACGCCUUGCUUAGCCACACCCCCACGGGAUAUAGCAGUAAUAAAAAUUAAGCUAUAAACGAAAGUUUGACUAAGCCAUACUGAUAGAGGGUUGGUCAAUCUCGUGCCAGCCACCGCGGUCAUACGAUUAACCCAAAUUAAUAACAACCGGCGUAAAGUGUGGUUAAAAAAAUAUGACAUAAUAAAGUUAAAUUAGCUCUCUGCUGUAAAAAGCUAAAGACCUAAAGAAAAUAGACUACUAAAGUGACUUUACCCUGAUAUGAACCCACGAUAGCUAAGAUACAAACUGGGAUUAGAUACCCCACUAUGCUUAGCCUUAAACCUUGAUAUUUAUUAACAAGAAUAUCCGCCAGAGAACUACAAGCAACCGCUUAAAACUCAAAGGACUUGGCGGUGCUUCACAACCCACUAGAGGAGCCUGUUACAUAAUCGAUAAACCCCGAUAAACCCUACCAUCACUUGCUAAAUCAGUCUAUAUACCGCCAUCUUCAGCAAACCCUUAAAAGGAACAACAGUAAGCUCAAACGUACUCACAAAAACGUUAGGUCAAGGUGUAACCUAUGUGAUGGAGCAUAAUGGGCUACAUUUUCUACGCAAGAACAUUUACGAAUUCUAAUAUGAAAUUAUAGGAUAAAGGAGGAUUUAGCAGUAAGCCAGGAAUAGAGAGCCUGACUGAAUCUGGCCAUGAAGCACGCACACACCGCCCGUCACCCUCCUCAAAUGGCUAGAGACAAAAAAUUAUAUUUUAACUCAACAUGUCAUAAGAGGAGACAAGUCGUAACAAGGUAAGCAUACUGGAAAGUGUGCUUGGAUUACUCAAAGUGUAGCUUAACCAAAGCACCUGGCCUACACCCAGAAGAUUUCAUUAAUAUGACCGCUUUGAACUAGACCUAGCUCUCAACCUUAAAUCACUACUACAAUUGUUAAUAAAACAAAACAUUUACUAGACUAAGUAUAGGAGAUAGAAAAAUUAUAAAGACGCAAUAGAGUUAGUACCGUAAGGGAAAGAUGAAAGACAACUUAAAGUACUAAACAGCAGAGAUUCCCCCUCUUACCUUUUGCAUAAUGGACUAACUAGAAACCCUUGACAAAGAGCCCUGAAGCCAAACCCCCCGAAACCAGACGAGCUACUUACGGACAAUUGUCAGAAUGCACUCAUCUAUGUGGCAAAAUAGUGAGAUGAUCCUUAAGUAGAGGUGAAAAGCCAACCGAGCCUGGUGAUAGCUGGUUAUCCAAAAAAAGAAUCUAAGUUCAACCCAAAGCAUGCCUUUAAAACUCAUAAUUUUACUGCAAGCUCUGGAGCUACUCAAUAGAGGUACAGCUCUAUUGAACUAGGAUACAACCUGUAAAGGAGAGUAACAAUAAUAACUCAACAUAGUUGGCCUAAAAGCAGCCACCAAUUAAGAAAGCGUUAAAGCUCAACCCUAAAUAGCACACUAAUCCCUACAAUAACAACUUAACUCCCUAAAUAAUAUUGGAUUAUUCUAUUAAUUUAUAGAAGAGAUAAUGUUAGUAUGAGUAACAAGAAACAAUUCUCCGUGCACAAGCUUAUAUCAGAACGGAUGCCCGCUGAUAGUUAACGACCAAAUAAAAUUAACCCACCUAUAGACUAAUUAUUCCUAAUAUCGUUAACCCAACACAGGAGUGCAACCCGGAAAGAUUAAAAGAGUAAGAAGGAACUCGGCAAACACGAAUUCCGCCUGUUUACCAAAAACAUCACCUCUAGCAUUACUAGUAUUAGAGGCACUGCCUGCCCGGUGACAUUAGUUAAACGGCCGCGGUACUCUGACCGUGCAAAGGUAGCAUAAUCAUUUGUUCUUUAAUUAAGGACUAGUAUGAACGGCAAGACGAGAAUUCAACUGUCUCCUUACUCCAAUCAGUGAAAUUGACCUUCCUGUGAAGAGGCAGGAAUAACUAUAUAAGACGAGAAGACCCUAUGGAGCUUUAAU